AUUGAACGCUGGCGGCAGGCCUAACACAUGCAAGUCGAGCGGAGCGGCGGACGGGUGAGUAAUGCCUAGGAAUCUGCCUGGUAGUGGGGGAUAACGUCCGGAAACGGGCGCUAAUACCGCAUACUAUCAGAUGAGCCUAGGUCGGAUUAGCUAGUGGGUGGGGUAAAGGCCUACCAAGGCGAAGAUACGUAACUGGUCUGAGAGGAUGAGAAGUCACACUGGAACUGAGACACGGUCCAGACUCCUACGUGAGGGAGGAGUGGGGAAUAUUGGACAAUGGGCGAAAGCCUGAUCCAGCCAUGCCGCGUGUGUGAAGAGGGUCUUCGGAUUGUAAAGCACUUUAAGUUGGGAGGCGUUACCAACAGAAUAAGCACCGGCUAACUUCGUGCCAGCAGCCGCGGUAAUUC
rnacentral:rRNA from 1 species